UGCUGGGGGACUGUGUUCAGGGGCCGCUUGCUCCCGCUGGCAGGAGCACACACAUUACACACUACCCCAGGUAUUCUGAUUGAUUGUUCCCACCCCACAGCCUUUGGAUCAUAAUUUAACACAGCAGGUCCUACAGCACAGAGGAGGUUUUCGGGAAUUACAGUGAGGAGUUUCUGUGAACUGGUACCGCACAGCUACUAGGCGUUUCUGAACUAAAAAUUUGAAAUACGGGGAGAGUUGGAGGAGUGACUACACAAGCAUGACGCGCACGGUCGCACAAACAAAUACCUUUACCCUCCUAAUUUAAUCCAAGUCCUUUAUUUUUAACAAGUUCUUCCUGCAAAUGAGCAUUUUCUGGGACUUCUGAAACACCUGAUUACAGCGCCAUCAGCCACGUCAAAUGCUUAAUAACGGCGCUCCGUCAAUUAUAUUCAAGCAUAUUUAAAAUGCGGAGAGUCAGACGUCAGUUUUCUCCUCACUUUCCCCAGAUGAAACAGUUCAUAAAGUCUUUUGGCUGUCAGCUGCUGUUUGCCCCUAGAGAGGAGUUAAAAACAUCCCCCCCCCCAAAGGAAAAAAAAAAAAAAAGAAAAAAUCACCCAGCCCACAACAUUCCCGCCCUGCAAAUUGUUUAACAAGCUCUGUGAUGAAUUAAUUUGCGCAAGGAGGUCUGCUUCCUGGCGGCUGUUCUCCGCAGCGGGGCUGCUGGUCCCAUCCCGGGCAGCCCGUGAGCGGCGGUACCGAGGGGGGCGACCCCGGGCGGGGUCCGUGUUGCUGCAGCCCCCAGCCCCCUGUGCAGCCUCGCUACCGUUAAUCUGGGGCAGGUUUAACUAAGGAAACAUUUCUGCCAUCUUCAGUUGAAAUCUAAGCUACACAGUGAAGAUCAAUCUCUCGUCAACACACACCUUCCACAAGUGAAUAAUUUCAAUCCCCAUUCAACAAAGUAAUAGUAAGAUAAUAUUUGCAGAGCCAUCUAAAACCAAUUUUCAAAGGUGACUUAGGGUAGGUGUACAAAGGCACUUACACACCUAUGUCCAAAAUGUGGCUUCUCAAAAUGUCUGUGCAGCUGCACGUCAAAAUAAACCCAGAGUUUGUAAGUAGUGCAGCUUUUCUCCUUGGUGCCUGGCAAGAGCCUAGAAUUUGCCUGCGGGCAGGUCAAGGGUUGUCUGUCCCUUGGCAGUGCUGAACAGCUUGGUGUUUUCUGCUUUUUCUCUGGUACCUUCACAAGUGAGGCCUCUGUGCUUGCUCAAGGGGUCUUAUCGAGAGGGAAUUCCCAGGGCUUUAAAAGAGAAAAUGAACUGGUUGAAGAAAGAGGACUGACCUGUUGUCUUUUCCCUCCUGGAAAGUCUGCUUUCCCUGCCCUUCCAUCAGCCCUCCAGGGACUAGAGUAGACCCAAAGGGAUGGUGAUCUGUGCUCAAGGUCCUCCUCCACCUGAGAGGUUCUAACCCGUGCCCCAACUCUGCUGGGAGAUAAAGGGGAGAAAUCGACCAUGUUUUCAUCAGUUCCUCCUCAAGUGGUUCCAUUUUGCAGCAAAAUUGUGCCAGAGAAAACGUGCAAGUUAUGAGCAUGGCGCUGUAUCUCUGUGGCUAGAGCAGGGACCGGGGAAGCAGAGGAGGAAAUGUAGCUCUUGGGUGAACUUGGUAAAUCCGGGAUCACCUAUGGUGUCAGGCACCCAGUCUCUAAACUCUGCAAUUGCUCAUGUUUCAGCUUAUAAUGGAAGGAGACAGGCUGUUGCUUCCCUUCUUGAUUCCCACUGUAUGUUGGGCAGCAGGGUAGAUUCCCAAGGAUGGACUGGAAAUUCACCCAGGGAAGCCUAAUCUUGGCAUAGCUUUCCCACAGGGCUGAGUUUAGAAGUCCCUGAGCAAACAAGAACUCCCGUCCCAUGGUUGGUACGGUCAAGCCAGCAUGGCCCUGUGCCAGCAAACAGCUCCUAAUCAUGUGUGGCUCAAAUACCUGCAUUGUUCCCAAAGCAAGUGCAUUUGAUGUACACACAUAGGACACACUUGAACUCAAAUAUAAGGCUUAUGGGAUUUUGGUGCCUAAACACCUGCAAUACUUUGGAAAAUAAGUCUUGCGUGCCUGAAUCACUCAGACAUUUUUUUAUAAUGCUAUUCUUAAGCACUUGCUUAACUAGUACUACAUGGGGGAUCUCAUAGAUUUCAUUGAGACAUUUUGUAUCUAAAAUAAAAUAUGAGAUGGAGGGCUUUUCUGAACAGGGAGGAGAUCACUCACCCACUUAGAGAUCAUGCGAUGUCUUAACAUGCUGCCGAAUCAUGGACAAGGCAACGUAAGUACAAAAAGCAAGCAUGGGGCAAAGAAGGUGAAGAGCAGUUUCUCAAGCUUAACAAUAGCCUCAAAAAUAAUACAGCCCAGUGUCCUGUGCAAAACUUAUCACUUCGCUUCCAACAAGGACUAGUGUAGGAAUGACCAGGGCUUUCCCACAUCACCAGUGCAUGGGACACAUUUUCAUUUGCAUUGUACUUUUCUGCUCCUGAGUCCCACAGGCAAAUGACUGGUAGGUGCAAACUUUCCUUAGAGUAACGGGCAGGCAACUGUGGCUCCAGACGGAUUACAAUUUCAAUUAAAAAAAAUAUAGGAAACGUAGGUCUUCAGUAAUUAUUUUCUUCCUAUAGGGGCCACCUUGUACACUUUUUUUGGUCUCAUUUUAAUAAUCUAUAUCAGUGUUGUUUUUUAGCUGAUUUUAAUGUCAUCUAGGGAUUAAUGUGUAUUAAUUAAAUUGACUGUAUUUUCUUUAAUGAGCACAAAAGGAUUUUAUGAUAAUACUGAUGAUCCUAAUAAGGAUUCUCUCUACUUAUCUGUAUUUUCUCAACAUCCUGAAUUAUUUUAUUAGGAAACAAAUUAAUUUAGUUGCUAGCACAGGGUAAAAACAAAAGCUAUCAGGUUACUGCUAACUGGCUCUGGCAAUUAGCAAGCUAUAUGAUGAUUAAGCUGUAAACCUGCACAGAGUUGCAGAAACAUUCAUUGCAAUGCAUUAUUUUAGACUUAAUUUAUACCUUUGUUGUUUGUCAUUGACCAACUCUUUUCUGGAUUUAAAGCCACCAAAUACCCGAGUAACCUUAAAGGAGAUGCUGGAAGUGAAACGUGAGUUAGGGUCUGUACCCCUUUCCUUGGAGCGAGCUGCUAACAAGUAGGAAACAGAGGAUUAGCUGGGACCAGAUGCUACAGAGUGAUUACAAACAGGUAGGCAGGUAUUAAUGUGUGACCCCCUUUCAGCUGUUCAGGUUGAUAAUGUAAAUUAGUUUCCAACUUGUUAAAAACCUAUAAUAUAAUAACAAUCAUUCACAACAAAUGAAAGAAAUACAUUUAUUUGCAUGCAUGAAUAUAUCUGUGUCAAUAUAUUUUUAUACAUCCACAGCUGUUCCGAGCUUGAAAGACACUUGACUUGCUGAGCAAGCAUUUAAUAAAAAGCCCAUGGAAAUGUUAAUUAAUGGUAUUUGGUACUAAAUGCUCACUUUGAUUCUAAAAUGUUACGCUGCACAGAUUUAAAAUUCAUUCUGCAUUUUUUACCCUUGUUACCAUCUGCAAAUUUCUACCCCACACCCAUUCUCACAUCAGGUUGCUGAAAUAAUUUCAUACUAUUAUAGCAUAUGCCAGUGAUGAGCACCAGGGCUGGAUUCUGAUCUCACUACACCUCUUUAACAUUGUGGCUUUCCAUUACAUGAUUUUUGUCAGCUUUUUGGCCCAUUCAUCAUGGUUUAGAUGAUGAUUCCAACUUAAAAAGCCCUUGGUUCUGCACAAACAUAAUGCACCUCAAAGAACCACCAAGAACUUCAACAGCUGUCAGCUCUUCGAUAAAUAAGAGCAAUUCCAGUGAAUUCAGAAAAAAAAAAUACUCUGCUGAACAAAGUUGCUCAGGCAUAAAAUGGUCUGUGAGACCCAGCAGCAAGGAGAGAUGUAAGAAACCUGACAGCUGCUCUAAGGUGCCCUGAGAGAGCGCGAUCUGAAGGAUUUUGGAGGUUUGAAGCCCUCUUUGCCCAGCCUGAGCAUGGAAAGGAGCUGUGUGAAUCAACCCUGAGUCUUGCUGAAGUGUGUCCAGUCAUUGAUUUCUACAAAAUGGACUGAGGACCUAAUCGUGAGCAGUGCAUUUUGCAUAGGCCACCAAAGAGCGUCAAACCAUACAAAUAUAAUCAACAUCUUCCACCACAUGGCAGUUCCCCACUAAAUCCCAUGGAAGAACAGGGCUGUGGCUCAUCUCCCAACACCUUUGUGAUAAUAACAUUCAUAAAUGGGAGAAAACAACCCCAUCUCUUCAUUUUAUUGAUGAAUGUGCUUCAUAGGGCAAUACAAAGCGUGGAACAGAAAACAAAGGCAAGAAAGACAUGGGAACGGGAUAUUCCAUUUGUGUCUUUGCAGCAUAAGAUGACAGGACUGUGAUUACAGUAUUUUCUACCAUUCCAGUUCCUACAGAAAUGACAACUUUUGACAAAAACAAACCGAUCCUAUUUAAACCACAUACCGAUUCAGGGCAGCUUAGUGGAUAAUGCAGCCAGAGUUCACCUCCAGGACCUCUGUUUGAACCAACUUCAGGUUAUAACCUAAUUGGCUUCUUCGUCUCAGCUCAGUGUCUCCAGGUCAGGCUAUGGAUCACUGCCAAGGCAUUAGGGAAACUUGCUGCAGAGUUGCAUGGCCCGAAGACAGACAACUCCAGUUACAAGCUCUGCCUGUCCUGACCCUGAGCCUUCACUUGCACAAAUAUUCGCUGCCUGUUUAAAAGAAGAAAGAGAAAAAUCCACGCUCUUUCCAGAUCAAAGAUAUUAUUUGUCUUUGUCUUGCAAGGCAUCUGGACGAGGAAAAAGGUAUAAAAAGGUAGUUUUGUUUGCUAGCUUCUAAUCUGCAUAAGGAGCAGAUCUAUGGGAAAAAAAAGUCAUAGCAACUAAAUGAAAUCAGUGGAAAAAUAAUGGUUGUGAUGCAGUGGCUUUGCAGCAAUUUGACCCAUGUGAUCAAAGAUUUAUGAUUCCUAGAAAAGAAAUAAAAGGAUAGACCUAAGAAUUGGGACAGAUCUGGAGCCAUUGCACUAUCACAGCUGGAGGAGAUUAUUCUUAUUUUUCAAUUAAAACAAACAAACAAACAAAAAAGGCUUUCAUUCUUCAGCUUAAAUUACACUAUAUUUGAGCUAGAUCUGUGAUGGAACCGGUUUCAGUGGAGCAGAAAAUCUCUACCUUAACACUAGGGUAUUGAAAUGAGGAGACAGUAAAGAGGUGUCAGUAGAGAGGGACCUACACUAGACAAUGUUUUUUGAAGAAAACAGAAUAUUUUAAUUAAAGGAUCUCUCUUGCUUUAUUCAUUGUUUCUCCUAACUGAAUAGAUAACCAAUGAGCUCUUUUCAUGUUUCUUCAUAGAAGGGCUCUCUUUUAAUAAUCUUCCAUUGGUUUUGACUGAUGUAUAUUAAACAAGUAUAUUAAUUUCUUCAGCAAAUCUACCAGUAGAUAUUUUAAGCCUGAUUAUAUUUUUGAUUUAUUAGACCAGCUUGAUUUUUUUUUUCCUUAAAAUGUCUGGCAAGAACUAUUUUUAAUAAAAAAUAUGUACUUAUGAGUGAAUAGGUUGGCAGUCACAAAAUAAAUUUUUUUCUGUAGAAGUGUGAAAUAUAACUAUAAAACAAUCACCUGAAGGUGAAAUUUUAAAAUUCUAUUCUCAAAGAGUGAUUUUCAAGAAGAUUUCGGAGUUUUAUGUUAGGGUGGGAAAGGGGUGCAAAAGAAUGUUAGUGACUUGAUUUUCCUUUUUUUUUUUUUUUUAAAUUUUUUAACCUUUUUAAAAAAAAUUAUUUUGCUGCUUCAGAAUUUUUAAGUAUUUUCAGGCUUUUGGAAAGCGGCUGGAGGAAAGAGGAGGCUGUCAUUUAGUCAGAAUCUAAUUUUUCCAGACUGGAGGAAGAUACUGAAGUUUACAGAGUGGACAAAUGCAGAGGAAUAAGAAAGUUAUUAAGUGGAGCCACCUCUGUCCCUGCAAAUAAACAAACCCAAAUCCACCAAAUAAAAACAAAACCACAAGUCAUGUUGUUUCAAAUUCUUUAAAAAGCAAGCAGAUGCCAAAAAGGGGAGCAGAGAUUUUGAGGGCAUUUUUACAGUAAUAAAAUGCAGGACUUCAAAUGAAUUACGGUGCCAAGUAUUUUGGAAAAAACCUAAAAUUUAAUUAUGAAGAGCAUUCCCAUUUCACACUUUUCAUGAAUACUUUUUCCCUCCCCUCCAGCAUUCUAUCCUUGCAUCUCUUUUUCUUUGUACUGCUUCUAGUAAUAGUGAUGUUUAGUUUUGUGGGGUCAGAUGUACCACAAUUUAUCCAGUUUGUACUGGGACAUGAAGCAGUUCUCUCCAGUGUCUUGUGCCCUGGGGCAGCCCCUGUCACAGAGCACUUUUUGUGAGAACAUCAGGAUGGGUGAGAGGCAGGAGACAGAGCUACAAGCAGUGGGUCCAGCUGUCACCUUCAUCCCCAAAAUUAGCACAGCUGGAAACGAACACCAAGAAUAAUUUUUGGCAGCCUCAGCAUCAUGUGGAAGAGGUAUUCGCUACAUCUCAGCACAGAUCUCUGCACCAGCUGAGAGGUGAGUUGGGCCCUAUAAAUUUCCUGUUUUUCCUAGAAAUCAAAACCAGAGAAAAUUCUUGGAUUGGUGAUUGUGAGGAAGGAACAACUGCUGUGAUUCCAUUUCUUAAGAAUACACACAGAAGCCACCAACAGGACAAUUCAAGUCAAAACUUGACUAACAGGUAAUUGGUGCUUCUCACAGUCCCUCAUCUCCUUAUCUGUCAAGCCCGGCAGAUAAGGAGGAGAAGUCACCAUCUCAUCCCUGUGCCCUUGACACUGAGACAGCAUUACCAGGCACCUGUGCCACAGGCUGAGAUUCAUCUGCCAUUGAUUCACCUGGAAUGAGACUGAAGUUAUCUUUUCUUUCAUUUUGAAUAUGCCAUUUAUUAAAGGCUGGGGAUUUCCCGAGCACUUGCUAAGAAGAAAUAUAUAUAUUUUUAAGGCAUCUCGCAUCAUUUGCAGUUUCUGAUGCAUCCAAAUACUACAUUAGGUCCUCAGAGCAAAACCUCCCUGUUGAUAGACCUCAUCUGACAGCAAUCUUUGGAGGGAGCUUUAGAACUCAAGCACUAGUUUUGAAUGCUGGAAAAAGCUGCCCAAGAGAUAAGAAAAGAGGAGAUAACCAGUAGUUCUCUUAAAAGUGUUUCAUGUCACUCUGAGAAUCUCUUGAAUAUCUUACAAAAAGAAAACAAAACCCAAACCAACACGUGGCAGGAAUUAUUCAAAAUUAAAUACCAUAGAAAAUAUUUUCUAGAUCAAUCAAAAUGCCUGUUACAUAAAUUUGAGCUGCGAACCUCAAAUGAUUUUUUCCAUUGUGUGUUUCUCACUAUUUGAGUGGGUAUAAAAAUCUCCAUAGAUACCCCUGUCAUCCUUCCCUAUCACACUGCAAAUAUGUUUGUGCUUGAGACUUACUGCCUUUUCCUACAGUGAAAAUAAAUAGCGAAUGUUCUUUUCUACUCACCAUGUUAUGUGUUUUAGAAACUUCCAGAAAUAAGUCAGAACAGCAAUAUUUAUAUAGUUAGGCCUGGCAUAUUUGUGUAUGUUAGGUAAACAUGGUUAUUUGGAACCAAGCUGUGACUGUAUGGUUUCUUCAUGCUGUUUUGUUGUCUAGAGGCACAACGAGGCCAAUUUUUUAGAAGAAAAAUGUGCCAUAUAAUUGCCACUUCGUGAUGCAUUCAGCUAAAAUCAUGGAAAAAAAAAACAUCUCGGUUCCCCCUUUGAUGCAUUGUGCUGUUGUUCCACUCUUGCUUUUACAAGCUUUCCAAUGCAACCGUCCUGCUCAGUAAGAGAAAAUACCUGAAUUACAUACACAAGUGCACACGCAUACACACACACGCAUAUUGAUCAGGUUUGUCUAACCCCUGACUUGAGCACACAUUUCAAAAAUUGCCAUAGAGGAAAGGAUGUAUUUGUUUGAAGGGGAAGAAAAGCAACGCUGUUAAGAAAGGUGCGAGCUGACAUGGUAAAUAAAAGCAACACAAGCGAAGGCACAAUUGGAGCAGGAAAUAGUUGGGAGAUGUGAUUCAGCACUCAGGCUGGGAGAUUAUGUUUAACGUGAAGAAUGGGAAAUGUGAGACAGCUCCUCCCGCUAUAUAUUCAUCCUAAUAUGUCAAAUGGAAAAAUGAGGGACCUUGCUCAUUUGAGACCAAUGCCACAAAGGGAAAUACUGUGUAGUUCCAAGUUUUCACACAUUUCCAUUAAAACAAUGUGAAAACUAAAGGACAGUAUUAAUGGGGCAGUAAAUCACUCAAUAGAUCCACACAAUAUUCUGUGGCACCAUUUUUUAAAAGGAUGCAAUUAUGUUUUCUGUAGAGAUGUUCGUCAGGACAAAGAUGGUCCUUUGGAAACACCUAGCAUGUGUUUUUCUCUUUUUUUUGAUAUUGUCACAACAGAAACACAAUAACACGUAACUCUUUCCACUGCCUGUAGACAGUUGAUUUAUGCAAGAAGAAAAUAGGAAUAAUGCUAGGGUUUUUGUGUUUAACAUCAAAGAAAAGCCUGAUUCAGGCCAGCACACAGGAAAAAUUGCUGAAAAUCUGUUUAUCAUGGACAGGCUAUCUCUUUAAUGCUGCCAAAAGCACUAAAACAUCGUGUUACCUGUGAUGUGAUUGACCUCUGAUUAAAGGGAUGGAGUUACCUUGCUCUUACCACUAUUUCUGUACAGUUUGUGCAUUUGUGGUGGUUUACACCUUCUUACUUUUUCUGGCUUCUUCACCAUUCUCUCUUGCAGAUCAGAGACUGGGAAAUGCAUUCAGUGUAUCUAUAGUGUUCCCAAAAUUGCAUUGGAUUUCCAGGACAAGCAUUUUGUUCCUGCAGCAUGUUGGAAGAUAACUCUUACCUAUGGACUGAAAAUUAAAGAACCUGGAAUUUAGGUGUCAUUCACUUUUUGACAUUUUGUUUCUUCCUGCUUGGGUUGAAAAUGGAGAAUUUCCACUGUCUUGAAAAAAGCUGAUGCCUUGAAAAUAUUUAGCUUUGAAGGCAUCAAAAUAACCAUUUUACAGCAAAUGCCAAAAACAAGUUUUCUCUAUUGAAAGCAUAAUUUGAAUGCUUUGUGCUGAAAACUAGAAUAUUCUUUUUAUUCAAAAUAUUUGAAAAUUCCUUGUUCAAAAUGUAAAGUUUGUUUCAUAUUUUUUUUUUAAUUUUCAUACAGAUGUACUGAUUCAGCUUCAUCUCAUUGCACUACUAAAGGAACAGAAAUCUCUGCAUGUGUCAGAGGAUAUGUAAUUUAACCCCAAAAUGUUAACAUUUAAUCAGAACAGUGGAGUCAAAAUGAAUCUGAUGGAUGAUACAUAAAUAAGAAUAAAAUGAAGUAAGACUCCAUUUUACAACCAGUCAUCAGAACUCUAGUCAGAGUUGGUAAAACAAGCUGUUUCAGCUGAAAUGAAAUGACACUUUUCACACUUUUAUUUUUUCUGAAAUUUUUAGUAUGUAAUAUUGAUUUAUUUUCAUAUGUAAAUAAAAUUCCCCUGAGUCCAGAAUCCAGCUCAAAGCACGCACUCUCCCCUUGCCACAAGGCAUCUAAGUUACAAAUCAAGUAGACAUAAAAGACCAUCAGACUGGUUUCAACAACUGGAAAUUCCUCCUGAUGGCUGGAUGCUGACCAAAACUAAGUGCAUCAAUUCACCUUUCUACUGAAAGAAUCAAUCUUUAAUAAAAAGAGACUUUUUCCCUUCUCUAUUUACCUGAAAUUUUCCAAACAUGAAAAAUGGGAACAUCUUCUACUCCUUGCCACUGGACAGAAGUGGUAGGCAUGUUCUAAUUUUGUAGGGGGCAUGGCUUGAGCUGCCUGCCAGUGGUUUCACAGCUCAGUUUAGAUCAGCCACAUCAAGGAAAACUUACGCUCAAAUUAUUUUUCAUACUUCAGGAGACAGGGUUUACGAUACCUCUUGUUCACAGGUGGUCAGUUCAAGGACUCAUUAAAAGUUAUACAAGUUUCCUAUUGAUAAAUAUGUGGAAAUUAUAGUCAAAGUGUCUUACGAAGUCACAACCAUUAAAGAACAUGUGCAGCAUUAAAGGAAAACCCCAGAUUAUUAUUUAAUGAGAUGACUAGUCUUGCUAUUGUUGCUUUAUUUUCAAGUAAUGUUAAAACUGGCUCCCUGGUGUUUGUAGUUUCUGGCUAUCUUUUUUUUUCCCCCUCCUCAUUAUUAAUUCUUUUUUUUCUCCAUGCUAAUCAGCCAAAGUGCUAUGUGUUUGGAAGACUGAUUUUUUUCCCUCAUUCCCGUUGGAUUUCAGGGUUAUUUGUACGCCUAGCCAAAGACUUCGGCAGCAGGUAAAGUCAAGGGCACACCUCAUGACCACCACAACAUGCACUCACAUGCCGAGUUUAUGUGACUGCUACACCUCCAGGUUAAAGCUCAUCGGGGAUUUCCAUAAAUCCAGUGGGUAAUGUGCCAAAUAAGAUUAGAGAAGACUUCGCAUUAUUGCACAAUCCAAUGAAAAUAUCAUCUGCUAAGCUCCUUCUGGUGAUAACUGGAAGGAGGUAGCUAAUACUGGCAGGUGUUUGUCUCAGGGGCAAGGAGAAGGCAGGAACACCUGCUUGUGCCCGUGUAGAAAGCGGGAGCAGCUCUCAUAACUGCACCCAUGGCAAUGUCUCCAGUAAAAAUGCAGUUUUUAAGAGCUGAAAUUCUGAUUGUUGCCUUUUGUCAUAUUAUUUUCUCUACCUUGGAUUACAUUAUGUUUAAUCUCACCCUGUUUUAUAUUCCCAAAUGUAUCUUUAUUCAAAAGUCUGUUUAAAUUUAUCUAGCUGUACUUUCAUAGGCUACCUAAUUCCUGACAUCGUAUUUUCACAUGUAGAACUGCAUUAAUAAAUGUAGCAGGUGGAUUUUUACAUCUGA